GCCCCGGUAGCCUAACCUGGACCAGGCACAGUCCUCCUAAGACUGUUCAUGCGGGUUCAAAUCCCGUCUGGGGCG
rnacentral:tRNA from 1 species